AUUGAACGCUGGCGGCAGGCCUAACACAUGCAAGUCGAGCGGAUGAAGGGAGCUUGCUCCUGGAUUCAGCGGCGGACGGGUGAGUAAUGCCUAGGAAUCUGCCUGGUAGUGGGGGAUAACGUCCGGUAACGGGCGCUAAUACCGCAUACGUCCUGAGGGAGAAAGUGGGGGAUCUUCGGACCUCACGCUAUCAGAUGAGCCUAGGUCGGAUUAGCUAGUUGGUGGGGUAAAGGCCUACCAAGGCGACGAUCCGUAACUGGUCUGAGAGGAUGAUCAGUCACACUGGAACUGAGACACGGUCCAGACUCCUACGGGAGGCAGCAGUGGGGAAUAUUGGACAAAGGGCGAAAGCCUGAUCCAGCCAUGCCGCGUGUGUGAAGAAGGUCUUCGGAUUGUAAAGCACUUUAAGUUGGGAGGAAGGGCAGUAAGUUAAUACCUUGCUGUUUUGACGUUACCAACAGAAUAAGCACCGGCUAACUUCGUG
rnacentral:rRNA from 1 species